UUUAUACUCCCUCCAUCCGGAAAUACUUGUCAUCAAAAUGGAUAAAAGGAGAUGUAUCUAGACAUAUUUUAGUUCUAGAUACAUCUCUUUUUAUCCAUUUUGAUGACAAGUAUUUUCAGACGGAGAGAGUAUAUC
rfam:Triticum urartu cultivar G1812 contig239784, whole genome shotgun sequence.